GACAAAAGCUUACUGUCGUUGUCAUCUCUCCUAGGACUCUAUCACCGGGAGGUUCUCCUCCGGGAUCUACUACUCCCCCUGGAGGAGCCCAUUCGCCUAAAUCUUCCUCCCCUGUUUCUCCGACGACUUCUCCUCCGGGAUCUACUACUCCCCCUGGAGGAGCCCAUUCGCCUAAAUCUUCCUCCCCUGUUUCUCCGACGACUUCUCCUCCUGGAUCAAUGGCGCCUAAAUCAGGUUCCCCUGUUUCUCCGACGACUUCACCACCCGGGUCAAUGGCACCUAAAUCCUCGACUUCUCCCCCAGCACCACCUAAAUCCUCUUCCCCUGUUUCCCCAUCCUCUGCUCCGAUGACUUCACCGCCAGCACCAAUGGCACCUAAAUCAUCUUCCACUGUUCCUCCGUCUUCUGCUCCGAUGACUUCACCUCCGGCACCAAUGGCACCUAAAUCUUCUUCCAUUGUUCCUCCGUCGUCUGCUCCGAUGACAUCACCUCCGGGGCCAAUGGCACCAGAGUCAUCAUCCCCCGCCGUGUCUCCAUCUAUGGCUCCGGGAGACUCUACUUCUCUUUCGCCGUCAGGUUCCCCGUCAGCAAACUCUCCGUCAGGUUCGGGGAUGGGUCCCUCGGGAGAUGGUCCCUCAG
rnacentral:lncRNA from 1 species